GACGUAGGGCGCGAGCGUUGUCCGGAUUUAUUGGGCGUAAAGAGCUCGUAGGCGGCUCGUUGCGUCGGCUGUGAAAACUCACAGCUCAACUGUGGGCGUGCGGGCGAUACGGGCAGACUUGAGUACUGCAGGGGAGACUGGAAUUCCUGGUGUAGCGGUGGAAUGCGCAGAUAUCAGGAGGAACACCCGUGGCGAAGGCGGCUUUCUGGGACGGUGCUGACGCUGAGGCACGAAAGCGUGGGGAGCAAACAGG
rnacentral:rRNA from 1 species